GACGAACGCUGGCGGCGUGCCUAAUACAUGCCAGUUGAGCGCUGAAGGUUGGUACUUGUACCAACUGGAUGAGCAGCGAACGGGUGAGUAACGCGUGGGGAAUCUGCCUUUGAGCGGGGGACAACAUUUGGAAACGAAUGCUAAUACCGCAUAAAAACUUUAAACACAAGUUUUAAGUUUGAAAGAUGCAAUUGCAUCACUCAAAGAUGGUCCCGCGUUGUAUUAGCUAGUUGGUGAGGUAAAGGCUCACCAAGGCGAUGAUACAUAGCCGACCUGAGAGGGUGAUCGGCCACAUUGGGACUGAGACACGGCCCAAACUCCUACGGGAGGCAGCAGUAGGGAAUCUUCGGCAAUGGACGAAAGUCUGACCGAGCAACGCCGCGUGAGUGAAGAAGGGUUUCGGAUCGUAAAACUCUGUUGGUAGAGAAGAACGUUGGUGAGAGUGGAAAGCUCAUCAAGUGACGGUAACUACCCAGAAAGGGACGGCUAACUACGUG
rnacentral:rRNA from 1 species